AGCGUACACGGUGGAUGCCCUGGCAGUCAGAGGCGAUGAAGGACGUGCUAAUCUGCGAUAAGCGUCGGUAAGGUGAUAUGAACCGUUAUAACCGGCGAUUUCCGAAUGGGGAAACCCAGUGUGAUUCGUCACACUAUCAUUAACUGAAUCCAUAGGUUAAUGAGGCGAACCGGGGGAACUGAAACAUCUAAGUACCCCGAGGAAAAGAAAUCAACCGAGAUUCCCCCAGUAGCGGCGAGCGAACGGGGAGCAGCCCAGAGCCUGAAUCAGUGUGUGUGUUAGUGGAAGCGUCUGGAAAGGCGCGCGAUACAGGGUGACAGCCCCGUACACAAAAAUGCACAUGCUGUGAGCUCGAUGAGUAGGGCGGGACACGUGGUAUCCUGUCUGAAUAUGGGGGGACCAUCCUCCAAGGCUAAAUACUCCUGACUGACCGAUAGUGAACCAGUACCGUGAGCGAAAGGCGAAAAGAACCCCGGCGAGGGGAGUGAAAAAGAACCUGAAACCGUGUACGUACAAGCAGUGGGAGCACGCUUAGGCGUGUGACUGCGUACCUUUUGUAUAAUGGGUCAGCGACUUAUAUUCUGUAGCAAGGUUAACCGAAUAGGGGAGCCGAAGGGAAACCGAGUCUUAACUGGGCGUUAAGUUGCAGGGUAUAGACCCGAAACCCGGUGAUCUAGCCAUGGGCAGGUUGAAGGUUGGGUAACACUAACUGGAGGACCGAACCGACUAAUGUUGAAAAAUUAGCGGAUGACUUGUGGCUGGGGGUGAAAGGCCAAUCAAACCGGGAGAUAGCUGGUUCUCCCCGAAAGCUAUUUAGGUAGCGCCUCGUGAAUUCAUCUCCGGGGGUAGAGCACUGUUUCGGCAAGGGGGUCAUCCCGACUUACCAACCCGAUGCAAACUGCGAAUACCGGAGAAUGUUAUCACGGGAGACACACGGCGGGUGCUAACGUCCGUCGUGAAGAGGGAAACAACCCAGACCGCCAGCUAAGGUCCCAAAGUCAUGGUUAAGUGGGAAACGAUGUGGGAAGGCCCAGACAGCCAGGAUGUUGGCUUAGAAGCAGCCAUCAUUUAAAGAAAGCGUAAUAGCUCACUGGUCGAGUCGGCCUGCGCGGAAGAUGUAACGGGGCUAAACCAUGCACCGAAGCUGCGGCAGCGACGCUGGUGCGUUGUUGGGUAGGGGAGCGUUCUGUAAGCCUGCGAAGGUGUGCUGUGAGGCAUGCUGGAGGUAUCAGAAGUGCGAAUGCUGACAUAAGUAACGAUAAAGCGGGUGAAAAGCCCGCUCGCCGGAAGACCAAGGGUUCCUGUCCAACGUUAAUCGGGGCAGGGUGAGUCGACCCCUAAGGCGAGGCCGAAAGGCGUAGUCGAUGGGAAACAGGUUAAUAUUCCUGUACUUGGUGUUACUGCGAAGGGGGGACGGAGAAGGCUAUGUUGGCCGGGCGACGGUUGUCCCGGUUUAAGCGUGUAGGCUGGUUUUCCAGGCAAAUCCGGAAAAUCAAGGCUGAGGCGUGAUGACGAGGCACUACGGUGCUGAAGCAACAAAUGCCCUGCUUCCAGGAAAAGCCUCUAAGCAUCAGGUAACAUCAAAUCGUACCCCAAACCGACACAGGUGGUCAGGUAGAGAAUACCAAGGCGCUUGAGAGAACUCGGGUGAAGGAACUAGGCAAAAUGGUGCCGUAACUUCGGGAGAAGGCACGCUGAUAUGUAGGUGAAGUCCCUCGCGGAUGGAGCUGAAAUCAGUCGAAGAUACCAGCUGGCUGCAACUGUUUAUUAAAAACACAGCACUGUGCAAACACGAAAGUGGACGUAUACGGUGUGACGCCUGCCCGGUGCCGGAAGGUUAAUUGAUGGGGUUAGCGCAAGCGAAGCUCUUGAUCGAAGCCCCGGUAAACGGCGGCCGUAACUAUAACGGUCCUAAGGUAGCGAAAUUCCUUGUCGGGUAAGUUCCGACCUGCACGAAUGGCGUAAUGAUGGCCAGGCUGUCUCCACCCGAGACUCAGUGAAAUUGAACUCGCUGUGAAGAUGCAGUGUACCCGCGGCAAGACGGAAAGACCCCGUGAACCUUUACUAUAGCUUGACACUGAACAUUGAGCCUUGAUGUGUAGGAUAGGUGGGAGGCUUUGAAGUGUGGACGCCAGUCUGCAUGGAGCCGACCUUGAAAUACCACCCUUUAAUGUUUGAUGUUCUAACGUGGACCCGUAAUCCGGGUUGCGGACAGUGUCUGGUGGGUAGUUUGACUGGGGCGGUCUCCUCCUAAAGAGUAACGGAGGAGCACGAAGGUUGGCUAAUCCUGGUCGGACAUCAGGAGGUUAGUGCAAUGGCAUAAGCCAGCUUGACUGCGAGCGUGACGGCGCGAGCAGGUGCGAAAGCAGGUCAUAGUGAUCCGGUGGUUCUGAAUGGAAGGGCCAUCGCUCAACGGAUAAAAGGUACUCCGG
rnacentral:rRNA from 1 species